rnacentral:rRNA from 1 species
GACGAACGCUGGCGGCGUGCUUAACACAUGCAAGUCGAACGGAAAGGCCCUGCUUUUGUGGGGUGCUCGAGUGGCGAACGGGUGAGUAACACGUGAGUAACCUGCCCUUGACUUUAGGAUAACUUCAGGAAACUGGGGCUAAUACCGGAUAGGAGCUCCUGCUGCAUGGUGGGGGUUGGAAAGUUUCGGCGGUUGGGGAUGGACUCGCGGCUUAUCAGCUUGUUGGUGGGGUAGUGGCUUACCAAGGCUUUGACGGGUAGCCGGCCUGAGAGGGUGACCGGCCACAUUGGGACUGAGAUACGGCCCAGACUCCUACGGGAGGCAGCAGUGGGGAAUAUUGCACAAUGGGCGGAAGCCUGAUGCAGCAACGCCGCGUGCGGGAUGACGGCCUUCGGGUUGUAAACCGCUUUCGCCUGUGACGAAGCGUGAGUGACGGUAAUGGGUAAAGAAGCGCCGGCUAACUACGUG